AUCCAGCUGAUGAGUCCUAAAUAGAACGAGACGCGCAUCCUUGAU
rnacentral:hammerhead_ribozyme from 1 species